rnacentral:rRNA from 1 species
GAUGAACGCUAGCUACAGGCUUAACACAUGCAAGUCGAGGGACCGGCGCACGUGUGAGUAACCCGUAUCCCACCUUCCCUUUACUCGGUGAUAGCCUUUCGCAAUAAAGAUUAAUACCCGAUAUAAUGGGUGGGGAUGGGUUACAUUAGGGUGUUGGUGAGGUAACGGCCCACCCAGCCUUCCAUGGAUAGGGGUUCUGAGAGGAAGGUCCCCCAGAUUGGAACUGAGACACGGACCAAACUGCGACGGGACGCAGGAGUGAAGAAUAUUGGGCAAUGGGCGCUAGCCUGAACCAGCCAAGUAGAGGGAAGAAGGAAGGGUUAUGGGUCGUAAACUUCUUUUAUAUAAGAAAAUGUAUUAGAUGAAUAAGGAUCGGCUAACUCCGUGCCAGCAGCCGCGGUAAUUC